CCGUGCCAGCAGCCGCGGUAAGUACGGAGGGUGCGAGCGUUAAUCGGAAGUUACUGGGCGUAAAGACGCAUGCAGGUGGUUUGUUUAAGUCAGAUGUGAAAGACCCGGGGCGUCAACCUCGGAAUAGCAUUUGUAAACUAGGCAGACUAGAGUACUGUAGAGGGGGGGUAGGAAUUUCAGGUGUAGCGGUGAAAUGCGUAGAGAUCUGAAGGAAUACCGGUGGCGAAGGCGGCCCCCUCGGACAGAUACUGACACUCAGAUGCGAAAGCGUGGGGAGCAAACAGGAUUAGAUACCCCUGGUAG
rnacentral:rRNA from 1 species